UCACAUCAGAUUCCCUUAUGAUUUCCGAAGUUAAGCAACGUCGAGCCUUCCAGUACAUAGAUGGGUGAUCGCUUGGGAAUACCACGAGCUGUAAG